ACCAAUGGCAGUUUGAAGCCCACCCCGAAAAAUUUGAGCCGGCCAUUUUAAAUCAGUACAUUUUUUUCCUUUUCAACCAUUCCUGCAUGCUUUCUCUGAUUUCGUGAUUUCUGUGAUACAGUCAAGGCCUCCAGCACCAGACGCAGCAAAGUAGCCCUACGGACAUUAUGGAUCAUCAUGCUUAACUGUUGGUACACAGAACAUUUUCACAGAAGCAUUGUGCCUUGUCCAGGAGAUAUUCCACAUCCUCUAUAUAAUCAUCAAUGGUGCCAAUAAGGGCUUUAAAUUAUAAAUCUGAAAAACGGCAUGUUCACCACGAAUCUUCAAGAGGAUGAGUCUCAGACUGUCAGCAGCACUCAGCACUGUACGUCCUGCACAGAAGCAUCCGUUUCAACCCCCACCUACGUCUGCAGCCCUGUUUCACACACGACUGAUGUCAUAUGGCCUGUCAGGGGCCUUUCUGUCCGCUACAGGAUAUUUUGUGUCGAAGCGUCUUAUGGCCCGCCGUAUCUUUCUAAUGCUGGCUCACAAACCCCUGGAAAGUACAUGCCAUUCUCGUAGAAGGGUGCCGUGUUCUGUGCUUAACACAAACUUGGGUUACAGGACGAUCUCAGAGUAGUGUGCAUUUAUUCUGCAGCAGUAAAUAGCCUCUGUCUAAGCUGAAUUCCUCGUGAAAUUAGGCCAGCACAAUAAUUGCAAUGAAAAUACCCAGAGAUAAUGACUGUCCUGUUAAUGCCAUUAGGUGUUUCCUCAAAGAUGGGAACUUUUAUAUUCCAUGGGAUCAUCUUGGAAACUUUUAACUUCGCCUUCAGCGUUUAUUUUUGCAACUUUUAAAAUCUUCUUUUUAGACAGAGCUUUUAAGAUUUUACCAGAGACCCAGAUAUUUAAUCUUAAAAUACGAAGGACCCAUUUUUUCAAUUGCAUUGUGAAAGCUAUGGAAAUUUGUGAAAUGUGAAAGGAUUUGUUGUGUACUCAUGGUUUUAAUGCAUGACCAUUUUUUUGUUAUGUUCUGCUAAACGUGGGCUAUUUGGCUUUUCACUAUAUAUUGUUUCAAACUAGCUGAUAGAAUACAUCCACAUGCAUUUUAUUUUAUUGUCCUAACCUAUUUACCUUACCUAUUUGCUUUUGAACAUUUUAAUACCAUACAUAUUUUUUAAGGUUUCCUCAAUAAGAGUGGAGUUGCCAAAAAAAGCUCCCCUUCAAUAACACCAAACUUUAGUUUUAUUCUCAUCUAUAUUUGUAUACCUCUGGUAUAUGCUCGUAUAUCAUUUGCCUGAUUUUACUUUAAUCCUAAAACAUGUGUAUUUGCUGAUUACCACUGACUACAAUAUGUCAACAAAAUAAAAGGAAAAUUUCUUAUCUGCA